GCAGCCACUGAUCACGAGAUGUUACCACGAAAUCUACCUCAGACUUCGCUUUUGCUCAUUCAUUUGCUGCAUCAUAGAUCUCAACAGGAGCUCUGCAGACACUCUUGAAAGUCUCUGAACAGAUUGUGACAUCAAGUCAAAGCAUGAUGACCUAAUAGUAGGUCAAAGUCUGAAACAUUGAUUCAGCAGUCCAAGAUAACGCUGCCUUUUUUUAUCAGUAUCGCCUCUCAAGGCUACAGACCUCCUGCCGUUUCUUCCCUGGCUACUUCAGAAACGUUCAACUGACCUUUCUCUGGCAAAAAGAUCUUGACUUUUCUCUCUGGUCCUGGAGAUAUUAAUGGAAUACAGUCAUGUCUACCCAGGACGAGAGGCAGAUAAAUACCGAGUACGCUGUAUCCUUGCUGGAGCAGUUAAAAUUCUUUUAUGAACAGCAGUUGCUAACUGACAUAGUGUUGAUUGUUGAGGGCACUGAAUUUCCCUGCCAUAAGAUGGUUCUUGCAACAUGCAGCUCGUAUUUCAGAGCCAUGUUCAUGAGCGGGCUAAGUGAAAGUAAACAAACACACGUACACCUGAGGAAUGUGGAUGCAGCCACUUUACAAAUUAUCAUAACUUAUGCAUACACGGGUAACCUGGCAAUAAGCGACAGCACGGUAGAACAGCUUUAUGAAACUGCCUGCUUCUUACAGGUAGAUGAUGUGUUACAACGGUGUAGAGAAUACUUAAUCAAAAAAAUUAACGCGGAAAAUUGUGUGCGUCUCUUAAGUUUUGCUGAUCUCUUCAGCUGUGAAGAGUUAAAACAGAGCGCGAAAAGAAUGGUAGAGCACAAGUUCACAGCAGUGUACCACCAGGAGGCUUUCAUGCAACUGUCGCAUGAUCUACUGAUAGAUAUUUUAAGCAGUGACAAUUUAAAUGUGGAAAAGGAGGAGACAGUUCGUGAAGCUGCUAUGUUAUGGCUGGAGUACAACACAGAAUCGCGAUCGCAGUAUUUGUCCUCUGUUCUUAGCCAAAUCCGAAUCGAUGCACUUUCAGAAGUAACACAGAGAGCCUGGUUUCAAGGCUUACCACCUAACGAUAAAUCGGUGGUGGUGCAAGGACUGUACAAAUCGAUGCCCAAGUUUUUCAAGCCCAGACUUGGUAUGACAAAAGAGGAGAUGAUGAUAUUCAUUGAAGCUGCUGCUGAAAACCCUGGUAGUCUUUAUUCUUCUGUCUGCUAUAGCCCCCAGGCAGAAAAAGUUUACAAACUCUGCAACCCUCCUGCUGACUUGCAUAAGGUUGGGACGCUUGUAACUCCCGAUAAUGACAUCUAUAUAGCAGGUGGGCAAGUUCCUCUGAAAAACACGAAAACCAAUCACAGUAAAAGCAGUAAACUCCAGGCUGCCUUCAGAACUGUGAAUUGCUUUUACUGGUUUGAUGCACAGCAAAACACUUGGUUUCCAAAGACACCGAUGCUCUUUGUUCGUAUAAAGCCAUCCCUGGUCUGCUGUGAAGGAUACAUCUAUGCAAUCGGAGGAGAUAGCGUUGGUGGAGAACUCAACAGGAGAACUGUGGAGAGAUACGAUACCGAGAAAGACGAGUGGACCAUGGUAAGCCCGUUGCCUUGCGCCUGGCAAUGGAGCACAGCAGUAGCAGUUCACAACUGCAUUUAUGUAAUGGCACACAACCUGAUGUACUGUUAUUUUCCCAGGUCGGAUGCUUGGGUAGAAAUGGCUAUGCGGCAAACAAGUAGAUGUUUUGCUUCAGCCGCUGCUUUUGGCGAUAAAAUAUUCUAUAUCGGAGGACUGCACAUUGCCAGCAAUUCUGGUAUAAGACUCCCAAGCAGUACCGUAGAUGGGUCUUCCGUAACUGUGGAAAUCUAUGAUGUGAAUAAAAACGAAUGGAGAAUGGCAGCCAAUAUCCCUGCCAAGCGGUAUUCUGACCCAUGCGUUAGAGCCGUCGUCAUCUCUAAUUCUUUAUGCGUCUUUAUACGAGAAACCCACAUGAACGAGAGAGCGAAGUAUGCCACCUAUCAAUAUGACCUGGAACUCGAUCGCUGGUUUCUAAGACAGCACAUAUCGGAACGUGUGCUGUGGGACUUGGGGAAAGACUUCCGGUGCACUGUAGGAAAGCUGUAUCCAUCUUGCCUUGAAGAGUCCCCAUGGAAACCUCCAACGUAUCUCUUCUCACCAGAUGGAGCUGAUGAAUUUGAGCUGGAUGGGGAGAUGGUUACUUUACCACCUGUGUAGCUCCCAAAUUAGACCGCACAACUGGUUCUGUGCUCGGUUAUCUGGAAAUAGAUGGCUGUGAAAGAACAGGUCUGGAAACAGAAAUGUCAAACCUGUCUUUCGUGAGUUGUAUUCCUAUGCCCUACCUAACACUUGCCGCCAUUCAGUAUGAAUCAGUGAAAUGAGCAGAUACGCUUCCAUAACCUGAAAUACUAUUAUCUGAUAAUUGAGAAACGUAUAUGUAUAUCUUGAGCUUAAGCAUCUGACUUGUCUAAAGGAUUAGCUAUAUGAAGUCUUGGUUCAGGAAAAUUAGCUUCAGAAAAAAAGUAGUUACUGUUUCUAGGAUGAUGUCACAACUCUCUUUGAAAGUAUCUUCCAGUUAUAUUUGAACUACUUCUGGAUAUUCUACUUAAGUGCUAGUUCUAGAAUUGUCAGUGUGGCCUAAUUAAAGGACUGUGCUGCACUUCCUUAAUAAAUACUAAUAUCCAUGUUGGUAUAGUAAUGCCAUUAAAAGGAAAAGAAACAAAUCCCAUGGAUCUACCUGCGGUAGGAAGGGUAGAUCUUCCAUUGUAUGGCAACAUGCAGGGCGAAAUGACUGCAGGUUCAGUCAAGCUGUAUUAUUAGGUGCAUGUAUUCUAUUUUCACUAACUUAUACCUGUCUAUUUAGAAUACAGGUCUUCCAAGCAGCUGGUAGUUUACCAGGUGUGGACUUAAGUUGCUGGGCUUGCAAUAGGAAUUGUCAGCCCUCAUAGUGCGGGUCUAUGUGGAGCUUUAAUCGGUAAAUGUCUCCACAUUCUGUAUUACAGUAACAUUGGCUCAUGUAUAUUACUUCCUGCUGCUGAUGUAUUUUUCCAUUGUAAAACAAAGUUUUAGUGUGGAUUAACCAGGUCUUUAUUUUCUGUUAAUUUAAUAACAAGCAUUACUGUAGUGUGAUUGUGUAUAGAUAUCCCUUAGCUAUCAGGUUUUUUACUUCGGGGGAGGGGGGGGAAGCAAACCGUUCAGGAAUAUCCUGUGCUGUGUGUGCAGGAGAGCAGAUGACUAGUGCUGCUCUGGCAUUAAUCCCAGGAACCACUAGCAGUAGCGGGGCGCCGCCAAUCUAACAUGAACACAGGUGCUUCAUGACAAACCUUACUAGCAUGUUCAGCUGCAUCAUGUUCUGGCACUGUAUUUUGAAUGACAUUAAUUUAUUAAAAAAGACUGAAUCCAA